rnacentral:rRNA from 1 species
CCUACGGGCCGCAGCAGUGGGGAAUAUUGCACAAUGGGCGCAAGCCUGAUGCAGCCGUGCCGCGUGUAUGAAGAAGGCCUUCGGGCUGUAAAGUACUUUCAGCGGGGAGGAAGGUGUUGUGGUUAAUAACCGCAGCAAUUGACGUUACCCGCAGAAGAAGCACCGGCUAACUCCGUGCCAGCAGCCGCGGUAAUACGGAGGGUGCAAGCGUUAAUCGGAAUUACUGAGCGUAAAGCGCACGCAGGCGGUCUGUCAAGUCGGAUGUGAAGUCCCCGGGCUCAACCUGGGAACUGCAUUCGAAACUGGCAGGCUAGAGUCUUGUAGAGGGGGGUAGAAUUCCAGGUGUAGCGGUGAAAUGCGUAUAGAUCUGGAGGAAUACCGGUGGCGAAGGCGGCCCCCUGGACAAAGACUGACGCUCAGGUGCGAAAGCGUGGGGAGCAAACAGGAUUAGAUACCCCUGUAGUC